CUAGAUAAUUUAUUUAGAUAUAACAAAACACUGAUAUACGCUCUUCCGUCGAUUUUUGUUAACGCGGGCUCUGCGUAUUUAUCGUUCUGCGAGUAUAUUUAUUUAUAUUCAUCUACUGUUUGUAGUUUUUUUUUUCGCAAUCGUUGCGUGCGGAAAACAGUAUGAUAUUGUAGUUUGAUUCUUUAAACAGUAAUACGGUUGUUUCGGACGACCAAUCUAAAAUGCCGUUCUAUUUGCACGGUAUAAUUAUUAUAGUAGGUAUAUUAUACUAUUCCGAAUACUAUUAUUGAUAACCGUUUCGAUUUAUGGUUAUAUUGACGCAUUAUUAUUGCAAUAUAAAUAUUUGUGUACCGUAAAUCGAGUUUCAUUGAUUUAUUGGGGACAUUUCCCCCCUCCCCCUCAUAACCCGAUCUUUGAUUAUUCGUGGUUCUAUUCACCAAACCAGGAACCUCUAUAGUUUUUAUACUCUUUAAAAAUGGUCAAAUAUCCUGCUUUUCGUAUAAGCAUUAAUAUAACAUAACAACUGUUUAGUGUGGAUAAGUUUUUAAAAUUUUUGCUACAUAUACAAUUAAUAAAUGUGUCAUUUCUGUACUAUAAAAAUUCGUGAUUUUAUUUUAUUUUAAAAUGAUUAAAACGCAUUAAAACAAUAUAAUUGUUUGAAAUAAAAUUGUUCAAAUAGACAGAUAUUUGUAAGUGAAUAUUCUUUUUGACAGCUUUACGGCAACGUUUCUCAACCUCUCACCCUUAUCCACGAUAAUCCGACACUGUGUCGCCCUACCAUUAAAAUAUGCACAGUGCAUUCAAUUUCUAGGUUUAAACAAUUUAAACUGUAAAUUGUAGAAGAAAAUUCUGAUUUUAUUAAAAAAAAAGAUGAAAACUAAUAAUUACAUUUGAAUAAAUAGAAAUAAUUUAAUGAUAACUACUUCGUGGUAUGCCCGUUUUGUGUGUACAAUUUGAGUAUCAGCAGCAGUAUUGUUAAAGAGUAAGUGAGGGAAUAUUAUGUUGUUCAGAUGGUGGUAAUGGAGAUGACAAGACUACAUGUUAAUGGAAGCUAAGACUUUUAAUGCAUAUGGUACCUAGAUCUUUUAGAGCUAUAGAGCUAAAGAACUUGAUGGGUGUAUCGUUAAUCAUACAAGUAAAGAAAAUGGGAGUUAUGGCUUCGAGAGAAUGAUAUAAACUCACAACUUCGACUAUGCUUAAUUAUUAAACAAUUGCAAUAAUCAAUAUCGCCAAAACUGUUUGUUUGCUAAACUAGUAACGAAGUUGCUCAAAACUGCAUCGCCAUAACAUGCUUAUUAUUGUUAAAUAAUUACUCGACAAAUCUAAAUAAAUCUAAGAAAUUGUAUAAUCAAUUUACACAUAUAACUAACAGUAUAUAGUAACAGUAAAUUUAUAUAGUCACAAAAUUUCUGCCAUCUGGGAUUAUUGAGUUAAAAAAAAAAUUGUUUAUUUUAAACCAGGAGUGUUUAUAAUAACACGAGCUUAUAGCUGCUGUAUACGCUAUAUGCAGCGCAGU